rnacentral:rRNA from 1 species
CCUACGGGUGGCAGCAGUGGGGAAUAUUGCACAAUGGGGGCAACCCUGAUGCAGCGACGCCGCGUGAGCGAUGAAGUAUUUCGGUAUGUAAAGCUCUAUCAGCAGGGAAGAAAAUGACGGUACCUGACUAAGAAGCCCCGGCUAAGUACGUGCCAGCAGCCGCGGGAAUACGUAGGGGGCAAGCGUGAUCCGGAUUUACUGGGUGUAAAGGGAGCGUAGACGGCUGUGCAAGCCAGAGGUGAAAGCCGGGGGCUCAACCCCGGGACUGCAUUUGAAACUGUGUGGCUUGAGUGUAGGAGAGGAAAGCGGAAUUGCUAGUGUAGCGGUGAAAUGCGUAGAUAUUAGGAAGAACACCAGUGGCGAAGGCGGCCUGCUGGGCGAUGACUGACGUUGAGGCACGAAAGCGUGGGGAGCAAACAGGAUUAGAUACCCCUGUAGUC